UACGUAGGGGGCAAGCGUUGUCCGGAAUCAUUGGGCGUAAAGCGCGUGUAGGCGGCCCGAUAAGUCCGCUGUGAAAGUCCAGGGCUCAACCCUGGGAUGCCGGUGGAUACUGUCGGGCUCGAGUCCGGAAGAGGAGUGUGGAAUUCCUGGUGUAGCGGUGAAAUGCGCAGAUAUCAGGAGGAACACCAAUUGCGAAGGCAGCUCGCUGGGACGUUACUGACGCUGAGACGCGAAAGCGUGGGGAGCAAACAGG
rnacentral:rRNA from 1 species